GACAGUGAUGAUGAUGAUGAAGUCACCGUCAGCGUGGACCGGGAUCGCUUCAUGGAUGAGUUCUUUGAGCAGGUGGAAGAGAUUCGAGGGUUCAUCGACAAAAUUUCGGAGAACGUGGAGGAGGUGAAGAGGAAGCACAGCGCCAUCCUCGCCUCGCCCAACCCCGACGAGAAAACGAAGGAGGAGCUGGAAGAGCUGAUGUCUGACAUAAAGAAGACGGCGAACAAAGUGCGCUCCAAGCUAAAGAGUAUUGAGCAGAGUAUUGAACAAGAGGAAGGACUGAACAGGUCAUCGGCUGACCUGCGGAUAAGGAAAACUCAGCACUCCACACUGUCCCGCAAGUUCGUGGAGGUGAUGUCCGAGUACAACGCCACGCAGACCGACUACCGGGAGCGCUGCAAGGGCAGGAUCCAGAGGCAGCUGGAGAUCACUGGCAGGACCACCACCAGCGAGGAGCUGGAGGACAUGCUGGAGAGCGGCAACCCAGCCAUCUUCUCCUCUGGGAUCAUCAUGGAUUCAAACAUCACCAAGCAGGCACUGAAUGAGAUCGAGACACGGCACAGCGAGAUCAUCAAACUGGAGAACAGCAUCCGAGAGCUGCACGACAUGUUCAUGGACAUGGCCAUGCUGGUGGAGAGCCAGGGCUGCCGGGCAGGGCAGUGCCCACCCGGUGCCGGGGAGCAGCGGAGCAGGAAGGAGCUCACGCCGGCACACGCGCGGGCGCGUGGGCUGUGUCCUCGCUCUGCAGGGAGAGAUGAUUGACCGCAUCGAGUACAACGUGGAGCACUCGGUGGACUACGUGGAGAGGGCUGUGUCUGACACCAAAAAAGCGGUGAAGUACCAGAGCAAAGCCAGACGGAAGAAGAUCAUGAUCAUAAUCUGCUGCGUGAUCCUGGGCAUCGUCAUCGCCUCCACCUUCGGCGGCAUUUUCGGCUAAACUCACCCCACGGGACUGUUUGUGUGCGAUGGACGGAGCCGCGCGUGCCAUGGGGCUGCAGCCACACCGGAGCGACCCACGCAGCCCCGGAGCCUCCCAGCAGCAUUUCAGUUUCUAAUGCAUGGUUGUUUGUGACGCUGUGUGUGCGGUGCGGUGCGUCUGUGUGGAGGGAGCGCCGGCCCCGGGGCGCAGGCGGGGGGCGGG